UACCAGCACCCCGAGUGGUCGGGACGUUUAUUGGGCCUAAAGCAUCCGUAGCCGGUUCUACAAGUCUUCCGUUAAAUCCACCUGCUUAACAGAUGGGCUGCGGAAGAUACUAUAGAGCUAGGAGGCGGGAGAGGCAAGCGGUACUCGAUGGGUAGGGUAAAUCGUUGAUCCAUUGAAGACCACCAGUGGCGAAGGCGGCUUGCCAGAACGCGCUCGACGGUGAGGGAUGAAAGCUGGGGGAGCAAACCGG
rnacentral:rRNA from 1 species